UAGCGCGUGCGCUUAACUUCGCGUUCACGGCGGAACUCGCACAGUCCGCCACUGACCAGGACCCGAAUCCACGUCAUCACUGCCGGACCCCACACUCUCAAAAUGUUUUUGAAAACCGAAAUGCACGACAAAUUCAUCCCAAAUGUCGUCCAAAACGAAAUCCAAAUUACAGAUCCCGCCUCGAGGAAACGUCUUUCCCUCCAUCAGACGCCCCCACAUGGCGCCACGUGCACUCACUUUUGCAUCGGAGCCGUCCGUGCCAGAUAGUACGGUCAGCUUCCCGGUCAGGAAGGAAACUGGAGGGAGCCGUCGGAUGGAGAGCGGACGGCUGAGAAGGUGCCCGAAACGUCCCCGGGUAGAUCUGGCCGCCUUUAAGAAGCGGCCCUAGGCCUCCUCUCGUUCCUCGCUCAGAUUAGGGUAAAAUCCCCAAACCCUAACCUCUACACAUUUCUGCGUCUCUCUCUCUCUCGUCCCGUCCCAAUCAUUGACGGCGCGUGGGAUCCAUUUGUGGCGCGUGGGGGUCACGCCCGAGCUGAUUCAUGGUGCCUGGUGCUCCGCCUGCAUUGAGAAUCCUUAGCCGGAGCUCAACUGGAACCCUAGACGGAGCUUUGAAUUCUGUACAGUUAUGGCGUCCGCCGUCUUAGCGAAUCGGAACGAACCCAAUUGGCCACAGCAGCCCAGAGGCGGCGGCGGAGGCGGAGG
rnacentral:lncRNA from 1 species